rnacentral:rRNA from 1 species
AUACGUAGGUGGCAAGCGUUGUCCGGAAUUAUUGGGCGUAAAGCGCGCGCAGGCGGUCCUUUAAGUCUGAUGUGAAAGCCCCCGGCUCAACCGGGGAGGGUCAUUGGAAACUGGGGGACUUGAGUGCAGAAGAGGAGAGUGGAAUUCCACGUGUAGCGGUGAAAUGCGUAGAGAUGUGGAGGAACACCAGUGGCGAAGGCGACUCUCUGGUCUGUAACUGACGCUGAGGCGCGAAAGCGUGGGGAGCGAACAGGAUUAGAUACCCUGGUAGUCCACGCCGUAAACGAUGAGUGCUAAGUGUUAGAGGGUUUCCGCCCUUUAGUGCUGCAGCAAACGCAUUAAGCACUCCGCCUGGGGAGUACGGCCGCAAGGCUGAA